rnacentral:rRNA from 1 species
AUUGAACGCUGGCGGCAGGCUUAACACAUGCAAGUCGAGCGGGGUGAGGGGGCGUGCACUAGCACUGAGCGGCGGAGGGGGGAGUAAUGAGGAGGAAUCUGCCGAGGAGGGGGGGACAAGAGCGCGAAAGGGAGGAAAAUACCGCAAAAGUCCUACGUGAGAAAGGCGGGGAUGACGGGAUACCUUGCGAGAAGAGAGGAGCCUAAGUCGGAUUAGCUAGUUGGUGGGGUAAAGGCCUACCAAGGCGACGCUCUGUAGCGGGUCUGGGAGGAUGAUCCGCCACACUGGGCCUGAGACACCGCCCGGACUCCUACGGGAGGCAGCAGUUGGGAAUCUUGGACAAUGGGGGGAACCCUUAUCCAGCCAUGCCGCGUGUGUGAAGAAGGCCUUAUGGUUGUAAAGCACUUUAAGCGAGGAGGAGGCUCUUUUGGUUAAUACCCACGAUGAGUGGACGUUACUCGCAGAAUAAGCACCGGCUAACUCUGUGCCAGCCGCCGCAGUAA